AAAGGAAUUGACGGGGGCCCGCACAAGCAGUGGAGUAUGUGGUUUAAUUCGAAGCAACGCGAAGAACCUUACCGGGGCUUGACAUCCCUUGAAUACGGUAGAGAUACCGUAGCCCUUCGGGGCAAGGAGACAGGUGGUGCAUGGUUGUCGUCAGCUCGUGUCGUGAGAUGUUGGGUUAAGUCCCGCAACGAGCGCAACCCUUGUUGUUAGUUGCCAGCACGUGAAGGUGGGCACUCUAGCGAGACUGCCGGUGACAAAUCGGAGGAAGGUGGGGACGACGUCAAAUCAUCAUGCCCCUUAUGUCCCGGGCUACACACGUACUACAAUGGCCAUAACAGCAGGCAGCGAACCCGUAAGGGGGAGCAAAUCCCGAAAAAUGGUCUCAGUUCGGAUUGUGGGCUGCAACCCGCCCACAUGAAGUCGGAAUUGCUAGUAAUGGCAGGUCAGCAUACUGCCGUGAAUACGUUCCCGGGCCUUGCACACACCGCCCGU
rnacentral:rRNA from 1 species